CAUGAAAAUCACUUGUUGUUAUUCAAAAGUUUAAAAGUUCUCUAUUCCUUGAAAGAAAAUUUAUACACUAAAGAACGUCAAUUGAAGAUGAAGGUGCUUCCUAGGGCCAGGUUCCCAGUCUGAUGAACACACCUUUGAAAUGUCAGCACUUUGGGGAAACAGACGAGCAGAGUUAUCUCACCAGGCAUUUGAGUGGCCAGGACAACAACUAAAGACUCAGUAAAACUGAUGUCACUAUGUAGGAGCUUCUGUUGAACUUGUAAACACAUCACUAAGGUCUGGCUGCUUCCAGGACUCUGCUUUUGUUCUGCUAUAAAUAAUUCAGUACAACAAGUAAUUCUCUUGCUGACUCCCAGACUCAGCAAAUACGAGGAACUUUGUUAUUCAAGGAUGAUCUUCUGGUGCCCCUUUAAUUCACUUUAGGCUUUACAUUUCUUGAGACACCUUUGGCUUCUGGUACAUUCACUUACCCUGGUCCGCUGCUGCAAUUUAUUCCAAACUAUCGCCUUAGUAAAGGUACCCUUCAUGAUCAAUCUGUGAGGUUUUGUAAGAUAUUUGCAAAUCACCAAAUGCCAAACCAUGGAGAUGUUCAGACAACUACGUGGUGGGUUUCUAAGGAUUUUUACUAUAAUGUGGAAAUUAUAUUCACUAGCGAAGAAAAAAGAAUGACUUACAUCUGUCCACAUCAUAACUGUGAGAGUGAAGGUAGCUCUAAAAAACUCUGUCCUCUUAACUCUAAAUCUCUCUCAUUUUUCUUCCUCUUUGUCUCGCCUCCUUCUCUACCUGUCCACGUCCCCGAUCUAAUUCC
rnacentral:lncRNA from 1 species